GACGAACGCUGGCGGCGUGCCUAAUACAUGCAAGUUGAGCGCUGAAGGUUGGUACUUGUACCAACUGGAUGAGCAGCGAACGGGUGAGUAACGCGUGGGGAAUCUGCCUUUGAGCGGGGGACAACAUUUGGAAACGAAUGCUAAUACCGCAUAAAAACUUUAAACACAAGUUUUAAGUUUGAAAGAUGCAAUUGCAUCACUCAAAGAUGAUCCCGCGUUGUAUUAGCUAGUUGGUGAGGUAAAGGCUCACCAAGGCGAUGAUACAUAGCCGACCUGAGAGGGUGAUCGGCCACAUUGGGACUGGGACACGGCCCAAACUCCUACGGGAGGCAGCAGUAGGGAAUCUUCGGCAAUGGACGAAAGUCUGACCGAGGAACGCCGCGUGAGUGAAGAAGGUUUUCGGAUCGUAAAAAUCUGUUGGUAGAGAAGAACGUUGGUGAGAGUGGAAAGCUCAUCAAGUGACGGUAACUACCCAGAAAGGGACGGCUAACUACGUG
rnacentral:rRNA from 1 species